UACGUAGGGGGCAAGCGUUGUCCGGAAUUAUUGGGCGUAAAGAGCGUGUAGGCGGCCCGAUUAGUCCGCUGUGAAAGUCCAGGGCUCAACCCUGGAAUGCCGGUGGAUACUGUCGGGCUAGAGUCCGGAAGGGGCGAGUGGAAUUCCUGGUGUAGCGGUGAAAUGCGCAGAUAUCAGGAGGAACACCAAUGGCGAAGGCAGCUCGCUGGGACGUGACUGACGCUGAGACGCGAAAGCGUGGGGAGCGAACAGG
rnacentral:rRNA from 1 species